AAUGCAUUUAUUUCAGGUGUGUGAUUACAGACUUGUGUGUGGUUUUGAUUGUGGCGCAGUCAGUUGUUUGCCGAGAAGCCUUGAAAACUGUGUAUUGCCCCCUUAAGAGCAAAAUUUGAUUUUUUGUGUGUGAUUACAGACUUGUGUGUGAGGUUUUGAUUGUGGCGCAGUCAGUUGUUUGCCGAGAAGCCUUGAAAACUGUGUAUUGCCCCCUUAAGAGCAAAAUUUGAUUUUUUGUGUGUGAUUACAGACUUGUGUGUGAGGUUUUGAUUGUGGCGCAGUCAGUUGUUUGCCGAGAAGCCUUGAAAACUGUGUAUUGCCCCCU